AAGGUUUUAAGUUAAUAAAACUAGGAACCUUCAAAGUUCCAAAUAAGGGCCCCACCCUUAAACCUUA
rnacentral:tRNA from 1 species